UGUGAGCUCGAUGAGUAGGGCGGGACACGUGGUAUCCUGUCUGAAUAUGGGGGGACCAUCCUCCAAGGCUAAAUACUCCUGACUGACCGAUAGUGAACCAGUACCGUGAGGGAAAGGCGAAAAGAACCCCGGCGAGGGGAGUGAAAAAGAACCUGAAACCGUGUACGUACAAGCAGUGGGAGCACAGGUUUACCUGUGUGACUGCGUACCUUUUGUAUAAUGGGUCAGCGACUUAUAUUCUGUAGCAAGGUUAACCGAAUAGGGGAGCCGGAGGGAAACCGAGUCUUAAUUGGGCGUUAAGUUGCAGGGUAUAGACCCGAAACCCGGUGAUCUAGCCAUGGGCAGGUUGAAGGUUGGGUAACACUAACUGGAGGACCGAACCGACUAAUGUUGAAAAAUUAGCGGAUGACCUGUGGCUGGGGGUGAAAGGCCAAUCAAACCGGGAGAUAGCUGGUUCUCCCCGAAAGCUAUUUAGGUAGCGCCUCGUGAACUCAUCUCCGGGGGUAGAGCACUGUUUCGGCUAGGGGGCCAUCCCGGCUUACCAACCCGAUGCAAACUGCGAAUACCGGAGAAUGUUAUCACGGGAGACACACGGCGGGUGCUAACGUCCGUCGUGAAGAGGGAAACAACCCAGACCGCCAGCUAAGGUCCCAAAGUCAUGGUUAAGUGGGAAACGAUGUGGGAAGGCCCAGACAGCCAGGAUGUUGGCUUAGAAGCAGCCAUCAUUUAAAGAAAGCGUAAUAGCUCACUGGUCGAGUCGGCCUGCGCGGAAGAUGUAACGGGGCUAAAUCAUGCACCGAAGCUGCGGCAGCGACACUCAGGUGUUGUUGGGUAGGGGAGCGUUCUGUAAGCCUGUGAAGGUGUGUCGUGAGGCAUGCUGGAGGUAUCAGAAGUGCGAAUGCUGACAUAAGUAACGAUAAAGCGGGUGAAAAGCCCGCUCGCCGGAAGACCAAGGGUUCCUGUCCAACGUUAAUCGGGGCAGGGUGAGUCGACCCCUAAGGCGAGGCCGAAAGGCGUAGUCGAUGGGAAAC
rnacentral:rRNA from 1 species